rnacentral:lncRNA from 1 species
AAGGCAUGAGCUCUAGGAAAGAUCAGCGCUCACGAGCAAAGACCGCUCCUACUCACCUUAGAUUCGGGGGACGGGUCCGGACUUCUGAAAACUAACUAAGGAAAAAGGAAAAGGACUUAGGCUCGGGGACUCUGGCUAGCGCAAUAACUUUAUAUAGCUUACCCGACCUCGCGCUGCUGAGGUCGGAUCGGCAUAAGGAAAAAGAAAAACACUUAGGAAAAAAGCUUAAUAUCUACAUUCGACAUUAACAUUGUAUAUAUGAUACAAGGCCUACUGGCCUCAACACCCACAAAAAGAAAAAAGAAAACUAAGGUUCCUGCUACCCUGUCUCUCUAGGUCCUUGAACCCCGAGGGGGGGAAGCUCCACCUCAUCGUCGAAGAAGGCGAACAAGGCAUCUCCGGGGACAGCCGCGGCGUCCUCAAGCCUCUGCACCUCCUCCUGGGCCUCCGUUUCGUCAUCAGGGAGGACGUAGCCCUCACAGACC